rnacentral:tRNA from 1 species
GGCCUCGUGGUCUAGUGUAUGAUUCCGCUUCGGGUGCGAGAGGUCCCGGGUUCGAUUUCCCGGUGAGGCCC